UACAGAGGUCCCAAGCGUUGUUCGGAUUCACUGGGCGUAAAGCGUGCGUAGGCGGUCGGGUAAGUCCGGUGUGAAAUCUCACAGCUUAACUGUGAAACUGCAUUGGAUACUAUCCGGCUCGAGGAAUGGAGGGGAGACUGGAAUACUUGGUGUAGCAGUGAAAUGCGUAGAUAUCAAGUGGAACACCAGUGGCGAAGGCGAGUCUCUGGACAUUUCCUGACGCUGAGGCACGAAAGCCAGGGGAGCAAACGGG
rnacentral:rRNA from 1 species